ensembl:lncRNA
GCGUGUCAAUUCAGCAGAUAAACAUAUUUUGUUCACAAAAUAAUUACUGUUAUCUUGUAUGUUUAUAGUUUAGUUGACAAGUUUCUUGUUCUUUCCCGCUCUCUCAACAGGAUACUGACCACCUGUGUUACCUGUGCAGGUGGAAAUUAUGUCAUCAUCCAUGUUACUAUCAUCACACAGGGGUGUGUUGAUCUGUUGGCGAGUGAAUGGCCGCGCUGUCAUGGAUCAGCCUGUGUCAGAUACUCUGGUCCAAAAGCCAAGCCAAUGAAAGGCCUGUCAGCUGAUGAUGAAAGAGAGUCUCUUCUGGAAUGGAGUGAUUCAGGUGAAAUUGAGUCAAUAUUGUAACCCAGAGGAAAAUGUUAUUGCUCUGCUCUUUCAUUGAUCAGGAGAUUUAAUGAGUUAUGAGUCACUUAAGUAUCAACUUUGCCUGAAAUAAAAAUAGACACAAAUGAGUCA